CCUACGGGAGGCAGCAGUGGGGAAUAUUGGGCAAUGGGGGCAAGCCUGACCCAGCAACGCCGCGUGAAUGAAGAAGGCCCUCGGAUUGUAAACUUCUUUUAUUCGGGACGAACCAAAUGACGGUCCCGCAUUAACAAGCCACGGCUAACUACGUGCCCGCAGCCGCGGUAAUACGUAGGUGGCAAGCGUUAUCCGGAUUUACUGGGUGUAAAGGGCGUGUAGGCGGGUGAGUAAGUCAGCCGUGUAAUUCCAGGGCUCAACCCUGGAACUGCGUUGGAAACUGUUCGUCUUGAGUGAAGGAGGGGCAGGUGGAAUUCCGUGUGUAGCGGUGGAAUGCGUAGAUAUACGGAGGAACACCAGGGGCGAAGGCGACCUGCUGGACAGUAACUGACGCUGAGGCGCGAAAGCGUGGGGAGCAAACAGGAUUAGAUACCCUGGUAGUC
rnacentral:rRNA from 1 species